AAGAAAAGCACCUAAUAACUUUAUUGAUACGGUGUGGAUAGUUUUUCUUUUAUGGUUUAAUGGCGAGAGUUGAGGGUGGUUUCGAGCUAAUCGAAGAAGAAUUAAAGUUUAGGUGAAGGUUAGGUGUGAAAGUUAGUUCCAGUUCCAGGCUUAGCUAAAUGAACGGGACGACCCUCCCUUUCUCUCUUGAUCAGGCCUAUGACUUUCAUUAACAUUGCUUAUUAUUCUUCUCAUCAUGUCUUUGACAGGUCUGAUGCUGAGAUCGAUAGUGAGGCUGUUUGCAUCGCUGAUGGGUGAGCCUGUUGCAUCAGUCUCGACCUUGCUCUAUUACAGUGGCCUUCUUCCUCAGAACAUGGCCCUCACCAGAAUGGUCCGCCACGACUUGCUUCAUCAUGGGAAUUACCUCUUCCGCUUCCUCGUCGACUUGUUGACUUGCUUAACCUGAUUAUCCCCCUCUGCCGUUUUCCAGCUCAGGGAAUUAAAACCCUUCAUCGUCAGUUACCUGCGAGGGAUGCUUCUGGCUGAACUAGCAGCAGCAUAUGGCUGUGAGGAAAGCGACGAACUGUUAACAACAUAUGAUCGAUCGUUUUAGUAUUUGUGAGUGAUCUCGUGAGCAGGGAAAGAUGAAAACACAUUGAGACACAACUCAUGUAAUCAUGGAGUUACUGUUUCAAAAUAAUAAACAAUUCGACUCGUUUCACCA